AUGACAUAAAGAAUAUGGUUAAGACCUUUUUCUAUGGUCAUGAGCUCCCUAAAUAUAUGUCACUCACAGUAAUUUAUUGUUGAUACCUAAAAAGGAGGUUGUUAAGACCUUUGGUGACUUAAGACAAUCAAUCUAAGUAAUUUUGUCAAUAAGAUCAUUUCUAGGCUGGUGCAUAGGAGAAUUGUAGAAUUUUUCUCUGAUCACCAAAUCAAACAAAUUUUACCAAAGAAAGAAGUAUUACUAAAAAUGUAUUGUUGACACAUGAUAUCAUCAGGGAUAUGAAUUUGAGAAAUAAAAAUCAUAAUAUAGUGGUAAAGUUGGAUAUGGAAAAGAAAUAUGAUAGAGUAUCGUGGAAAUAUCUAGUGAAGGUGUCGAGAAGAUUUGAUUUUUCAGAAAGGAUUAUAGAUAUGGUGGUAAGGUUAAUAAGCAACAAUUGGUAUUUAGCGUUGAUGAAUGGACACUUUUUUAGUUUCUUUUAAUCCUCAAAAGGGUCGAAGCAAGGAUACUCAGGAUCUAUGAGGAAAAUGAUAAGGGCACAAAGAGAGUAUGAAAGAUGUCAGGACAGAUGAUUAAUUUGGAAAGGAGUUUAUUUUAUUUACAUAAGAAGACCCCAGGUGGAGUAUGUAAUCUAGCCAAGAGGAUUACUGGCAUAACUAAAGGUAGGCCUAAAAUAUUUUCUAUAGAUGAAAUUAUGUAUGAUGCAAAUAUCAAGUAUAAAAAAUUGCUAAAUGCAAUAGCAAAAUAACUCAAGAUAGACAUCAACUCAAUUCAAAUUUGAGAUUAAGCUCUUGAUUGGUAGAUUCCCACCAAUGACCAUACACAAUGAUACAAGAGUCAUGAUGUAUUUAGAUCGAAAAAAAACUAUUAUCAAUAAUCAUACACAAUGAUAAAGUCAUGUUAAACUUUUGUUAUAUUUCUGCAUGAUGUUUUCAGCUAUUA